rnacentral:rRNA from 1 species
UUGACCUCAAAUCGGGUGAGACUACCCGCUGAACUUAAGCAUAUNNNNNNNNNNNNNNNNNNNNNNNNNNNAGGAUUCCCCUAGUAACUGCGAGUGAAGCGGGAAAAGCUCAAAUUUAAAAUCUGGCGGUCUUUGGCCGUCCGAGUUGUAAUUUAGAGAAGCGUCUUCCGCGCCGGACCGUGCACAAGUCUCCUGGAAUGGAGCGUCAUAGAGGGUGAGAAUCCCGUCUUUGGCACGGAUGCCCGGUGCUUCUGUGAUGCGCUCUCGAAGAGUCGAGUUGUUUGGGAAUGCAGCUCAAAAUGGGUGGUGAACUCCAUCUAAAGCUAAAUAUUGGCGAGAGACCGAUAGCGAACAAGUACCGUGAGGGAAAGAUGAAAAGCACUUUGGAAAGAGAGUGAAACAGUACGUGAAAUUGUUGAAAGGGAAACGCUUGAAGUCAGUCGCGUCGACCGAGACUCAGCCUUGCCUUGGCUUGGUGUACUUCUCGGCCCGACGGGUCAGCGUCAAUUUUGCCCCUCGGAUAAUGGCAAGGGAAAGGUGGCACCUUUACGGGUGUGUUAUAGUCUCCUGUCGCAUGCGAGGGGUGGGAUUGAGGAACUCAGCGCGCACCUUGGUGUCGGGGCUUCUGCCCACGUCACGCGCUUAGGAUGCUGGCAUAAUGGCUUUAAACGACCCGUCUUGAAACACGGACCAAGGAGUCCAACACGCCCGCGAGUGUUCGGGUGGAAAACCCGUGCGCGUAAUUAAAGUGAAAGUUGGGACCUCUGUCGUGGAGGGCACCGACGCCCGGACCAGACCUUCUGUGACGGAUCUGCGGUAGAGCGUGUGUGUUGGGACCCGAAAGAUGGUGAACUAUGCCUGAAUAGGGUGAAGCCAGAGGAAACUCUGGUGGAGGCUCGUAGCGAUUCUGACGUGCAAAUCGAUCGUCAAAUUUGGGUAUAGGGGCGAAAGACUAAUCGAA